rnacentral:rRNA from 1 species
CAAGUCGAGCGGUAACAGAGAGUAGCUUGCUACUUUGCUGACGAGCGGCGGACGGGUGAGUAAUGCUUGGGAACAUGCCUUGAGGUGGGGGACAACAGUUGGAAACGACUGCUAAUACCGCAUAAUGUCUACGGACCAAAGGGGGCUUCGGCUCUCGCCUUUAGAUUGGCCCAAGUGGGAUUAGCUAGUUGGUGAGGUAAUGGCUCACCAAGGCGACGAUCCCUAGCUGGUUUGAGAGGAUGAUCAGCCACACUGGGACUGAGACACGGCCCAGACUCCUACGGGAGGCAGCAGUGGGGAAUAUUGCACAAUGGGCGCAAGCCUGAUGCAGCCAUGCCGCGUGUGUGAAGAAGGCCUUCGGGUUGUAAAGCACUUUCAGUCAGGAGGAAAGGUUAACGGUUAAUACCCGUUAGCUGUGACGUUACUGACAGAAGAAGCACCGGCUAACUCCGUGCCAGCAGCCGCGGUAAUACGGAGGGUGCGAGCGUUAAUCGGAAUUACUGGGCGUAAAGCGUACGCAGGCGGUUUGUUAAGCGAGAUGUGAAAGCCCCGGGCUCAACCUGGGAACUGCAUUUCGAACUGGCAAACUAGAGUGUGAUAGAGGGUGGUAGAAUUUCAGGUGUAGCGGUGAAAUGCGUAGAGAUCUGAAGGAAUACCGAUGGCGAAGGCAGCCACCUGGGUCAACACUGACGCUCAUGUACGAAAGCGUGGGGAGCAAACGGGAUUAGAUACCCCGGUAGUCCACGCCGUACACGAUGUCUACUAGAAGCUCGGAGCCUCGGUUCUGUUUUUCAAAGCUAACGCAUUAAGUAGACCGCCUGGGAGUACGGCCGCAAGGUUAAAACUCAAAUGAAUUGACGGGGCCCGCACAAGCGGUGGAGCAUGUGGUUUAAUUCGAUGCACGCGAAGAACUUACCUACACUGACAUACAGAGACUUACAGAGAUGGUUGUGCCUUCGGACUCUGAUACAGUGCUGCAUGCUGUCGUCAGCUCGUGUGUGAAUGUGGUUAGUCCGCAACGGCGCAACGCUAUCCUUAGUUGCUAGCAGUAUGCUGAAAGCUUAGAACUGCGGUAUACUGAGAGCGUUG